CGUCAAGUCAUCAUGGCCCUUACGAGUAGGGCUACACACGUGCUACAAUGGGGAGUACAGAGGGAAGCGAGGCCGCGAGGUGGAGCAAAUCCCACAAAACUCUUCGUAGUCCGGAUUGGAGUCUGCAACUCGACUCCAUGAAGUCGGAAUCGCUAGUAAUCGCAAAUCAGCAUGUUGCGGUGAAUACGUUCCCGGGCCUU
rnacentral:rRNA from 1 species